rnacentral:rRNA from 1 species
CCUACGGGUGGCAGCAGUGAGGAAUAUUGGUCAAUGGCCGAGAGGCUGAACCAGCCAAGUCGCGUGAGGGAAGACGGCCCUACGGGUUGUAAACCUCUUUUGUCGGGGAGCAAAGCGAGUCACGUGUGACUCAUUGAGAGUACCCGAAGAAAAAGCAUCGGCUAACUCCGUGCCAGCAGCCGCGGUAAUACGGAGGAUGCGAGCGUUAUCCGGAUUUAUUGGGUUUAAAGGGUGCGCAGGCGGAGGUGCAAGUCAGCGGUCAAAUUGCGGGGCUCAACCCCGUACUGCCGUUGAAACUGCAUCCCUAGAGUGCGUCAGAGGGGGGUGGAAUUCCAAGUGUAGCAGUGAAAUGCGUAGAUAUUUGGAAGAACACCGAUGGCGAAGGCAGCCCCCUGGGACGCAACUGACGCUCAUACACGAAAGCGUGGGGAGCAAACAGGAUUAGAUACCCUUGUAGUC